UGGAUGAGUAAAUGUAAUGCAAUUUUAAAAGAAAAACAACACCAUUUGAAUUAUUAUGGCUGUAUUUUAUGGUUAUUGUCAUCUUAAAGUUAUUUAUACCUAUUUUUGGUCAUUAAUGAACAGAUUUUUCCCCCAUAUUAAAUGAGAACUUUUAAAUUAAAAGGUUAAACCCCAUGGAAAGAAUGUGCAUCAUCGCAUCGCCUGCCAAAAAAAGGAGCAAAAGAGAGACUACCUGAUGUAUGGACUUGAAUACCAGGUUUUACCCUGCACAAGCUGGCCCACAUGAGGAGAACAGGAGUGGGAAAACCGCGCCCUCUCCUUGACCAAGAAAAGCUGGAUUUGUUUAGAGGACCUGAUCAAAUGAGAUCAUGCACGAGACGCAUCGCGCAAAGGCCAUGACAGUAUAAUAGUUGCAAAGAAGUUUGACCGCCUGGUGGCAGACUUGGAGAGAAAGAUGAGAGCUGCACUCCGCUGCCUCAAAGAAAUGCUGAAAGGCCUUGAUUGAUAUGCAUCUUUCUUAUGUAUAUAGCUGUUCGUGUGUAUAUACUGUACAUGUUAUUAUAGUAUGCUAUUAUUUUUUGUUUAUUUAUAAUCAAAUUAUGUUUAUAUUUAUUUCAUCAAAUUGCCAUUGAUAUUUAAUUACUCAUGUAUGUUAAAAAAUGUUGGUGUACAUUAAAGUAUAAAAUUGAA